rnacentral:rRNA from 1 species
GACGUAGGGCGCGAGCGUUGUCCGGAUUUAUUGGGCGUAAAGAGCCCGUAGGCGGUUUGGUAAGUUGGAUGUGAAAUCUCCAGGCUCAACUUGGAGGGGUCAUUCGAUACUGCCAUGACUAGAGUUCGGUAGGGGAGUGUGGAAUUCCUGGUGGAGCGGUGAAAUGCGCAGAUAUCAGGAGGAACACCCGUAGCGAAGGCGGCACUCUGGGCCGGAACUGACGCUGAGGAGCGAAAGCGUGGGGAGCGAACAGG